rnacentral:rRNA from 1 species
AUGGCGCUCGCAGCAGCAACCCUUGCCUCCUCUCCGUGCGUAUCUAUCUCCGUUUCCGCCGCUGGGAUGAACAGCAGCGGCCUGUCAGUGUCGUUGGGGGCGCGCCGUGUGCCGGGGAUUUCUGUGCAAAUUCAUUCCCAGCGGAGGAGGAUGGUCGCAGCGGCGGCAGCGGCGAGAGGGGACGAAGGGGCCGGUAAGACCUUCGUGGAGGAGAUGAGGGCUGCGGCGAUGCGGAUGCACACCAAGGACCAGGCCAGCGAAGGGGAGAAGGAGCUUGAGGGACCGUCACUGAACGAGCUGGAGCCUAACCUUGAGGCCUACCUGCGCUUCCUCGUCGACAGCAAGCUCAUCUUCCAGACGCUCGAGAACAUCGUCGACCGCGCCGCCGUCCCAUGGUAUGCGGAGUUUCAGAAUACUGGGUUAGAGAGAUCAGAGGCACUGAAGAAAGAUCUGAAAUGGUUCAGCGAACAGGGUCACACAAUUCCAGAACCAUCUGCUUCAGACACUAAAUAUGCUUCUUAUCUGGAAGAGUUGUCUGAGAAGGACCAGCAAGCAUUUUUCUGUCACUUCUAUAAUAUGUACUUUGGUCAAUCUGCUGGAGGUCGACUGACCGGCAAAAAGAUUGCUGACAAGAUUCUGAACAAGAAAGAGCUGGAAUUCUACAAGUGGGAAGGUACCCUGUCCGAGCUGCUGCAGAAUGUCCGCACAAAACUUAACCAAGUUGCUUCUAGCUGGACCCGGGAAGAGAAGAACCGCUGCCUUGAGGAGACUGUGACGUCGUUCGCCUAUUCAGUAGAUCGUCUGCGCAAGAUAUUCACCUGA